rnacentral:rRNA from 1 species
ACCAGACUCCUACGGGAGGCAGCAGUGGGGAAUAUUGGGCAAUGGGCGCAAGCCCGACCCAGCAACGCCGCGUGAAGGAAGAAGGCUUUCGGGUUGUAAACUUCUUUUAUCAGGGACGAAGCAAGUGACGGUACCUGAUGAAUAAGCCACGGCUAACUACGUGCCAGCAGCCGCGGUAAUACGUAGGUGGCAAGCGUUGUCCGGAUUUACUGGGUGUAAAGGGCGUGUAGCCGGGCUGACAAGUCAGAUGUGAAAUUCCGGGGCUCAACCCCGGACCUGCAUUUGAAACUGUUGGUCUUGAGUAUCGGAGAGGCAGGCGGAAUUCCUAGUGUAGCGGUGAAAUGCGUAGAUAUACGGAGGAACACCAGUGGCGAAGGCGGAUUGCUGGACAGUAACUGACGCUGAGGCGCGAAAGCGUGGGGAGCAAACAGGAUUAGAUACCCCCGUAU